AGUAAUAUGCCUGAUAAAAGGAUUAUUUUGAUGAAAUACUUAUGUAAAAUUUUUACUAUUACUA
rnacentral:tRNA from 1 species